rnacentral:lncRNA from 1 species
AUGUUGCUCGCUAGGGAGCACCGACUGGGCCCGGAGGCCUGGGGUCAGGGGCUGCCUCCCAGGCCCUGCGCCAGGGCCCUGCAGGACGGCAGGCCGGACGGGCGUGGGGUUCCUGUCUGCUCAGGUGCUCCAGGCCGCUGCGCUGCACGGUCAGGUCAGGCCCUUCCCCUCCACUCCUGGCCUCAGCCUGGCCUAGGGGGCAGAUGCACUGGCUGGAGGGAGUGCUGCCUCGGAUCCGGUGGCCCUGGGCCCGCUGAGGCCGGCCCCUGCAGGAGCUGGGGGACAUCUGCGGGCUCCUCUCGGGCGAGGUGGGAUCUCUUUUCACGAGAGGAAACUGGGAAGCUCUGGUCCUAGGGAGGAGUGUCCCCCCACCGCCCCAGCACAGCACAGCAGCCAGGGAACAAGGCUCUUCUUCACGCGGGCCAGCUCACAACCGUCGGACCCAAAUGCAGGAAAGGCCGACGGAGCCAGCGCUUCCUCCCAGCUUUACAGUGGCUGUUCCAAGCCAGGAACGCGGGGUAAUGGCCCCGCGGGCUUCCCCCCUCCCGGAGGGGCCUGAGCCCCUCAGUUCUCUCUGAGCACCUGGAGGGAAUAUCCAGCACGGAGGGAGCCAGGGCCGGACCUGACCACCCUGCCCUGCCCGGUCUCUGGGUGAACAAUGCCGAGACUCGAAACUGGGGCCCUCGGAAAACACGCGUGCACACGCACAAGUGCACACACCCCAGCCGCACCUCGGGAAGAGGGCUGGUGGCUCAGACGGUGGCAGCUGCUCUGAAACGCGCCCCCCUGACAAGUUUGCUCGCCACACAGGGGGCACUGGGCGCAGCUGCACAGGCUCUGGGAGGGCACGAGGCGGGCAUUGAGGGGUGACUGUGCUCAUUAAGGGCUUUUAUGCAACAAGGGAGUCAGGAAAACAGGUAGGGUUAUCGCAGUACAAUCUGAAAAACAUAGAAAUAACUCGCUGCCGUUAUGUCACAGUGUUGUAAAUGACAAAUUCACACUUAAAACCCAGAUUUAGGGGCCGCCCCGUGGCUGAGUGGUUAAGUUCAUGCUCUGCUUCGGUGGCCCAGGGUUUCCCUGGUUCAGAUCCUGGCUGCGGAUACGGCACUGCUCAUCAAGCCUUGCUGAGGCGGCAUCCCACAUGGCACAACCAGAGGGACCUGCAACUAGAAUAUACAACUAUGUACUGAGGGGUUUGGGCAGGAGAAGAAGAAGAAAAAAAAAAAAUUGGCAACAGGUGUUAGCUCAGGGCUAAUAAAAUGACAACAAGAAAUCCCA